rnacentral:lncRNA from 1 species
UAACACCUCCCACAUACAGACACAGGAAAAAGAAUCUCUCUCAGCUUCCUUCGGUUACGCUCUCAAAAACCCUGAGAAAAAAAGGCUUCAAUAAUGGCAUUCUCAAAGGCUUCAAUGGCUACGCUGAUGAUGGCCGUUGUCCUGGCCGCCUUGGUUCUCGCAGGGUCGGCUCAAGAUCUCUCUCCCGCUCCAGCUCCCGCUUCCGGAGCCGGCUCGAUCUCGCCUUCCUUAGCCGCCGCUGGUGUCGCUCUCCUUUGCGCUCUGGUGUUCGGCUCAGUUCUCAGGGUUUAAGAGGCCGGUUCUCUAUCUGAUUACGUGUCACUAGCUUAUUGGGUGUGUAGAGUGGUUUCUUCAUUUUUUUUUUCUUUUUUUGCGUUGUUUAGACGUUAUGUGGGCUUAGUAGCGGCGGAUCCACUGGGUUUUUAGUCUUUUAGGGAGUGAGUCUUAUUACAUAUAAAUUUUAUAAUGAGAGAGAGUUAUCAGUUAUGCUUUGUAGCUCACGGAGAUGUGAUGAUAUGAUUUGAUUUAUGCUUGUUAUUUUGGAGACUUAUGAUUAUUAUCAGUAUAUAUUAAGCUAUUCCUUUUGUUGUUAUGUUAUAUAUCAUUCACUAUCCGCUUUUCUUUUAAUUUUUUAUGUAAAUCAAUUUAAUUUUAUUUCACUCGAAUCGCGUUCGCCGGACGACAGAAGAGGAAAUACAUUUCCCACAAGAAUCGAUGAUAAGUAAAAGUAAUGCACUUGUAAACAGUAAUUCGUAUCUUCCCUAAACAAAAAAGUCCCAAGUGGCAAGGCACAGCUGACACGUUUACUCCUUCGCUUCUGCACUCCCAUUCCCAUGUGCAAUUGUGCGAAAGGACAAUGAAUGAGAGAAUUGGAGGAGAAGGGGAAUCUGUGCCUUUAACAUGACCAACAGGAACAUUUUUUUUUUUUUUUUGGCCUUUUUUUAAUUAUUCCAAGUCCAAGUCAUCGGGUCUGUGGCACCUUCGUGAAACAGAAAACAACAGGGGGAUCAAAUGUGCAAUGAUUCAAUUUGUUGGUUUAUAGGGGUAUAUCAUUACACUUGGCGAUGCCUUGGAAGAAGUCGCCAGAAUGAUGAUUUUCGAAAAGUUUAUGUUGGACAAGGCAGUCUUUGCGAAAUUGACUCAUUCGGCCCAACCAUCCUUUUGUAAUCAAUGGCUAAGCGUGAUUUGCAACGUAUUAUUUGACCGGUGAGCUGAGGUUGUUCUCCCUUUUCAUUCGCCCCCACCCAACCCCCCACCUGGAGUUCCCCAACAUUUGCUUAGCUUGUACGAAUAUUAUAGUUGGUUUGUGGACCCUACCACGUAAUUGUUGAUUCCCGUUUGCUUUGCCCUACAUAAUUAUAUACUAAAUCAAUAAUUCUAGAAAUAUAAACUCUUUAACAAGCACUAAUUAUUCCAUUAAUACAGUUUGAGAUGACAUUUUAUAUUAGGCUAUUGAUAUGUUGGAGUUCACCUACGGUAAAAUAUGAAUUUUAAUUACACGUAAAAUGAUAAAUAAUAAAAAAAUAAUUCAUUUUUUAUUAUUCAUCACUUUGCUUGUAUGAUUGAGAUUCGCGCUCUACCGUAAGUGAACUCCAACAUAAUCAAACUCUUAUAUAUUAUUGUAUGACUGAAAUUCACACACCACUGUAAGUAAACUCCAACAUAAUCGAAACCCUUUAUAUUAUUGUUGCACGCUUUGUGCAAUUGAUUAUUUUUUAACUUAAAAAAUAAUUGAUGUAGGUCUCGUCGUAUUAAUUUGCACAAUAAAAUGUGCAGAAAUAAUUUAUAUUAGUACUCCAUAUUUGUCCAGUAGCCAAUGAGCUUAUUCAUGAACUUCAGCUCAACCAUCUUGUAAUGUGCGAAAAUAGCCUUGCUUUGUCUAUAAGCAAAGCUAGUGGCACAUUCGUCACUCCCACUUUAGACAGGUUAUACCAAGUUGGUAAAGUAGCUUUUAACUUGUUAACCAGCAAAAUGGACGUAGCCCACUACUGGGCCUAUAGCGUGACCAGCUCAGUCAACCAGCACCUAAAUAAAGCUGAAACAAAAGAAAAAUAUAAGCAAAACAAAAACAGGUGUUGAUGCCUGAUGCCUCUAUAAUAAUAAUAAUAAUAAAAUAACCGAGAGAGAGAAGAGAGAAGAGAGAAGAUAUGGCUAAAAUUUUAUCCUUUCAUUCAUCUCAGAGGGAGGGACGAAAGGUAACGAUUUACAGGGUAGCAACAUUUUGUCAUAUUCUCAACAAACAAAAAACAACAGCUAUCAACAGCUAUUCAUCUUCCUCUUCCUCUACUCUGAGUCUGAGUCCAUGUUACCCAUAGCCUUCAAUCCUCUCGGUCUCUGCAUCAGAUUAGAUCCCCGAUACAAACAUUAUGCUCCAUUAAUUUUUAAUGUAUAUGCUUCUCCAAUUGGGGAGUUGUAAUACAAAAAGUACCUUCUUGGAGAUUUUCUUCUCUCUAACUUCAUAACGUUCAAGGGUCAGGUCACAUAGCCAUGCACCAGGACUUACCAGCUGCAAAGAAAAACAUAAACUCAAUGCAACUUUGGCCUUUAAUUUCAGAUUUUGAUUUUGAUUGGGAUGCAAUAAAGAGAGAUUCCUGUGCUUUUUUAAAACAGUUAUGAUUUCAAUUAAUUUGUAAAAAAAAAUAAUUCCACCAUAAGCAAGAAGAUACUUGCAACCUCAAAAAGAAAAAAACUACUUGCAAAAAGAAUCGUCUACAGGUCGUGCGUUUAAGAAAGUUAUGGACGAAAAACUACGUGCAAUCUUUGCUCUCCACGCACUGUCAGUGUGGUCCAGCUUGGAGGACCACUACAAGAGUCACGAAACCACCUCCAUUGUUUAUUAUAAAUUAUUCUUAAAUAUUAUUUCAAUAAAGAGAAAAUUAAUCAUUAAAAACUAUUAGAGACAAGAAAAGUUAAUUCACCAAAAAGCAAUGUCCAUAUUACGGAAAUGCCCCACAAUAAUGGGCAAAGGGCCCAUCCGCUUCCGUCGGUUAAACUUUUACGAAGAAUAUUAUUACCUUUGGUGAGUAUUUGGACCUUACUUCGUUGAUAAGUUUUAGUGUUGUCUAUUGAAUCGCCAUCGUACACGUGUUGCAGAUUGAUCCCUCCAUCUCAAUCUGAGACACUCAUAAUGUUUAAAAGUUAAAACCAAGAGAAAAAUACAGUUUCCAGCUCUGUACUACCACGUCCUUGUUGACCCCACGUACCUCGUUUAAGGCAUUCUGUUAUCGGAUAAUUUUUAAAAACCUUCCUUAAGGUUUGGACUUGUUGUAAGUAGAUGGCAAAAAUUUAUUUAUUUAUAAAAAAUCUCCUACCGUCAGUUAAUUUUAACAUUGAUCGUUAGUUGACUGUGCAAAGACAAUAUUAUCCUUAACAAUACUUUAUAGACUGACAUAACUAAAAAAAAAACUAAAAUUAUUGACGCGAAAUACACAAACCCUAUUUUUUGACAAUGUUAUCCUUGUCAAUUUCAAAGAUUUAUAAUAUCAUAGGUAAAGAUUAUGACUAUUUCAUUUUCAAAUUUUUAAUUUUAUCUUUCUUGUAGGAACUUUAAGAAAAUAUCAAUAAUUUAAAGAGGAUUUUUCAAGUUUUUAAUUUUAUCUUUUUUGUAGGAACUUUAAAAAAAUAUCAAUAAUUUAAAGAGUGUAAAAUAACUAACAAUUUUAAUUUUUUUUUUUAGUUAUUUCCGUCUACAAACUAUUGUUAAGGGUAAUAUUGUAUUUGCACAGUCAACUAACGGUCAAUGUUAAAAUUAAUUGACGGUAGAAGAUUUUUUACAAAUAAACUAAUUCUCGCCAUCUACUUACAACAAGCCCAAACCUCAGGGGAAGUUUUUAAAAAUUACCCUCCUGUUACCCCCUCAUAUUCUUGUAAAAUGAUAAACCCACGAAUGAUUUUAUAAUUUAUACAAAUUAACGACGGAUAAAAAUUAGCUAAAAAUAAUAAUAAUAAUAAUAAUUAAUUUUUAAUUAUAUAAACCCAUAAUAAUUUUAUAUAACUAAUUCCGUCACGUCACUUCGAUUUAUAUACACUUACUUAUAGAAGGUAAUUAUAACUCUAUUAUUACUCAUUUCCACAUAUAAAACAUUUUCAACGCUUUCUUAAAAAAAAAAAAAAAGAACUCCCCGUAGCCCAAGAAAAGUAAAAUAAAUUCAAAAUUGCGGUAUUACCGUGAUAAUCUCUUACGGUAAAAUCUUGACUUAAGUAACUCUUAUUGGUCGUAAGAAUAUUUGAUUUUGAUAAAUUGGAACAUAAACAUAAAAAAAAUCAAAAACAGAAAAAACUUAAUGACAACUCAAUUGUCUCUUGUUAUUCAAUUAUCUCCCCCACGAAGUAAAGUAUGAAUUACUGCAUUACGGAAUGCCACAUUAUUUAGAAUAAUUUUUAAAAACAAAAGAUUUAAAAUAUGUACCAUUACUUUAAUGGAAUUUUCCGACUAAAUCAAGAGAAAUUUGAUUAUCAAAGCACAAAACUCGGGCAAGGGUAAUAUUCCCACCCCAGAUUUUUGUUAAUUUAUUCUACAUCCCGCACCCAAACCAGGACUCGGUCACUGGGAGGCUAACGUUACUACAGGUCAUUUUUAGGUACACGUCCACGCCUUUACCGACACGUGGACAUGUAUAUCUCACUGGUCACUUUACACACAGCCCUAUUUUUAAGCGAAAACAAAAAUUGAAGACUAAUAAAAAAAUAAUAAUAAAGUAGAUCAUAGUUUCACAUAAAUCAGGGUCCGACCCAGCAACCAUAUUUGUAGUAACAGCUACAUUCUUAAAAACCGUGUCCCAUCCCAAAAUAUCAUCAAAAGGCCGCAAGAGAUCUAUUGUACCUUGUGCUCCUAAAUGUUGUACCCCAAUAAAAUAUUCCUACAGAUGAUUAUUCACGAUAAUUAAAUUGCAACUAGAAUCAAAUUCGUUAAAUCUAAAUUCUAAAAUAACUAAAACAACAUCGUAGAUAAGUCUAGAUAUCAUGAAGGAUUAAACAAGGAAAGAAUAAGAAAAGCUUACAUUGACUGUGCGUUGAAUAAACUUUGCUCUCUUUUUGGGUCUCUGUGGCAGCUUAGACCCUUUAAUGGCCAUGAAAUCUUCCUCUUUCUCUUUGUUGGUUAAAGCAAUCACAAAUUUCGGGGGCCACACGGGUGGCGCCGCCUCGCCACUAGCGGAAGAGGAUCCACCUUUCUUGCUAUCAUGAGCUGUUUCCGAUGAUGCCCCUGAUUUGUUAUAAUCAUUGUUGUGGUGGUUGUGAUUGUUGUGACGGGUACCUCUCUUAUCGUGCGCACCCCUAUCUGGUGAAGCAAAACCUCUCACACCACCGUUGCUUUGGCCUCUCAUGGCACUUGAAUUCUCAGAGUUCCUAACAAACAAUACACACAUAACAACACAUCAAUUAACUGGACAUAACAUGUGAAAUAAAAAUGAAAUUUAAUACAGUCAAGUAGAGUGUUAAGGAAAAAGUAAAAAAAGUGAUGUGCUGAAGUGAAUUUUUAUGUAAGUACGAAAAUAACCUUGGGAGUGAUCAAGUAAAGUCGGGCUAAAUUUGAGAAGAAAGUCAUAUACGGUGAGUUCUUUUUUCUUUUGGCUUCUUUGGAGAGACUUUGGAUUGCGCUUUUUAAACAAAUAGGAAGUGUUGAUAUUUGCUAACUUGGCUGCCAUGAGAAAAAUAGUUUUGAUUCUAAUCUCCAUCUAACGAGCACAGCUGGUCCUAUGGGCGGUUUGUAGGCCGUUGGAUUCAUUUUCCUUUUCUAAGGUAUGGGCUACGUGUUGAUGGAUGGGUUGGCAUGUAGGAUAGAGUGGACCAGAUUCCUAAUACAAUUACAAUCGACGGCGGAAAUUUUGUUGAGAUUAGACUUGGGCAUCAUUGGACGCGUGGCAGGAACUUGCUAAUUCCAUGUUUCCUAGUUCCAAGUUCCAACGAGUCCACCAUGUGAGGACGCUUUGGCAGCGUUAUGGGCUAAAAUCAGGCGUGAUGAACUCAAGACAAGUUGGCUACCCUCUAGGCAAAUGCAAAAGGUCAAGAGUAGCACAAUUGAGUAAGAAGAGUAGUUUGAUUAGGAAUGCUAAUCAACCUAAUCUUCUUUUGCACAACUUUGAACAAAAUCAGUCCAAUAAGAUUGCAAUAUAGAAAAAGAAAAGAAUAAAACAUAAAUUGUGAGACUUAACUAUCUUCAAAUCAUCACUUUUCAAAAUCUCAAAUUACCCUCAUUUUUAUUCAAAAAAUAAAGGAAAAAUGUGAGUUGAUCAGUUUAUUUUUAUCUUCUGCAAAAGAAGCAAUUUGAGAUUUUAAAAAAUAAAAAAAUGAUCUAAAGAAUGUCAAUUUAUAACGAGAACAAUAAAAAUAUAACCCCAUAUAAAACUACAAUUAGCAGCCGCAGAUCAGUCAAAUAACAAAGCAAAGAUUACAGCCAAUUUCCCAAUUAAGAAUGUAAAUCAGUAAAUGUAAUAUUGGGAGAAUGCACCAUCUAAAACUUCACCAAUUAUAUGCUAAAGUCUAGAAACUAAUCAAAUUUAUAAAUAAAUGAAACUAUCCCCAAAUCUCAAGUGCAUUAUCUAUAGAUCACACACUUCAAACGCGACUAUUAGAUUCUAAGGAUCGUGAAAUGACAUGGGCAAGCCACUUUAGCAAGACUCAAAUCCUAGAAACUAAAGCAAUAGUAAAUAUAAGGACACCCUGACCUUAUGAACUCACCAUCAGGCAUCAGCUCUCCUGAGUUCUGAUUUGCACCAACCUGACCAAUUAGUGAAUGGACAAGUAUAAGCCUCAUAAGUAAGUACUCAGCCCCAAUUUUGGAAGUUUAAAAGUUCAUCUUGUAAUGAACAAGUAGAUCCAACUAACCUCCACUUCAGCAAAAGCAAAAUAAUUUGAUGCUGAAAUGUUAUUAGGCAUCAAGAUUCAGACGCCAGCUUAGUAUUCAUAUGAUAUUAUCUAUUCCUGGAACAGUCCACUCCACUACCAGAAAUAGACAAAUGUAUCAAACCAUAGUACAAUACCAAGGGACAUACUAUCCCAGACUAUGAACUAAUUAUUUCCAAUUUUAUAAAACAAGCAUAAAGGCUGCAAUUGGAAUUUAAAAUAUAAUAAUAAUAUCAGCAGAAAUGCAGAAUGACUCCGGGCUUACUGAUAUUACACAAACUAAUUAUGUCGACAGUGACCGUGUACCAACAGCGACUAAUGACUAAAGGUGAUCCAAAUUCAUGCUAUUACUGAAAAGGGCAACUAUCUUUCUUCAACAUUAAUUUAACAUAAACACCAAUUCAAUUGAAGAAGAAAAUAUAAUUCACCACGGUAAAACAUAUUUCUUGCGGCAGAAAACCAUUAAUUAAAGAUAAAGGGUAAAAAGGGACCCAUCAAAGAGAGCAGAUCGAAAUCUUUUUCCGCGCCAAUGUGGAUUAUAGAAAUCGAACAAUAAAGGAGCUAACACUAAACUGCGAACACGGACACAAAGCGCGUCACGGGCCCACGCGCAACCCAUUCAAUUAUCUAAACGUCAUACACACAACACUACAGUUGCCUCGCAAACACCAGCGAAGGUUCAGGCUCAGGCCCUCAGCGCGAACAACCCCACAGCUAAAAACAAGAUCCACCAUCUCAGCCGACAGUGUUUAAUACGCGCCGUAAGAAUAAGCAUACAAAUCUCUGUUUUUAUUCAAACAUAAAAUCAAACAAACGAUGAUACAGAGUUAUUACCUGAGCACACGCUGAGGUGGCGGUGGCGGUGGCGGAGGCGAAGAUGGCCGUCGACGGAGAUUAAAAUAACCGUUACCAAUAUUAUGGUUAGCGGUGGCAGUACUCGGCUGAUUGGACGUGUCUUUGUCGGUUCUUACGACUCGAACCGUCGUCCGAUGGGCCGAAGCGGACGAAUCGUCUUUGACUUGAACUUUCAUGCACCGGAGUCGCUUCCUGUUCCCCCACUGUAAGAUGAAAUCAGACGACGCCGUUUGCCUAGUGUUGAUCUCUGAGCUAGCUCUUAAUAAUCCCCCAUCUUUGCAAGUGCUCCCAUUAUUACCGCUUCUCAACAAGUCCUUAUCCAUCUCCUUUCGCAAACCUGUCCCAUUCAGAUAAGUUAAUUACAAUUACUCAUCCUAAAUUACGGUUAACUUGCAGAAUUAUACUAAAAAAGAAAAACAAAAUGAACAAUUUGGAUACGGCUUCGGCUUUCCGGCAACUUCCACGCCAUUUAAAACGAAUGAUUAAAAUUAAAAUUUUAGAGUAACGGCUAAGAAUUUUCCCAAAUUUUGAGAAGAAAAGUAGGCUUACCAUAAGAAUCACAUAUAUUAAAAUGCAACAAAAAUAUUGAAUACUGAGGAAGACCGAAGACUGGAAGAGGAAGAUCCGACAGCCAAGGAUUUUUCAAAAUGAAAAAAUGCAGAAUUCUCUACCGAGUGAUGCUGUAAUAGUCAUCAGCAGUGAAAAUGAGAAUUUUAAUUCAAAAAUAGAUCACAGACGUACUCACUCCAGAGGAUCUGACGAAGAAUACGCAUAGAAAACGGAGAAAAAAUUUCUCAAGCUCCAUGCUUUUGCUCGGCUGCCGAGAAAAUGUUCGAAAAAGAAAAUAAAGAAGGAUCGUGAAUUGCAACAAUCAGAACCAAUUCGUUGGUUCUAGAGAUCAAUUCGAGAAUGGAAAGAAGUUCUGAGAUGUUAUUUUUCUCUCUGCUUUCUUUCUCAGUAACCAAACGUAGGUAAUUUGAGAAAAAUCUGAGAAGCAGCCACAGCUAAAACUCAAAAUAAGACGAGACUGACAAAAAUUUUAAAGCUCGAAUAAGACGAGACUGAGAGAUGGUCAAAAGAACAAAAAUCAAAACGAAAAAAUAUUUCAUCAAUAACAAGUCAAGAUUUUCAUGGAACUGAAAUUUCUUGUAGACGCUAAUGAUGAAUUCUCGCCAGAGCCAAACAGCUGAAAAAACGAGAAUCGGAGUCGAACUUAAGUAUAAGCUUCGUAAUAAGAAGCAAGUGGAAACCGAUUCAAAACUGAAAUGAAAGAGAACCGGUCCCGAGUUAAAUCGACGAGAUGAAAAUCGAUAUGCUUGUUUUUUAUACCUCCAAUAUCUCAAAUUCGCCGAUAUUUUGCUUCUUUCAGUCGGCAGAAUACAAAUCGAAUGUAUAUCAGCUUCUCAACGAAAUGAUUGGCAUUUCAAAGACUUGAAAAUCUCCUGCUCUAAUGAGAGAUUAUGAUCUUCCCCUUACAGAAAUUUCUCUAUUCUCUUAAGAAAUGUAUCUGCAAAACAAAUAAAAUGAUUAUAUCAGAGGAUGAAUUAUACGGAAUUAACACUAAGCCAACUGAACCAUGUCGUCUUUUGUCAUUUUGAAUUUGUCUGUAAACUAAAGCAUGAACCAAACAACAAUUAUACCGGCCAAUUUUUUUAAAUUGAUCUUCUUAAUAAUGAAAAACAAAAGUGUGUUGGUAAUACACACCUCUAAAUCUCCUCUAUCUCUCUAUCGGAUUCAGAUUCUCAACAUUCCGUUAUCAUAUUCUCGUCAAUUCUCAGCCAAAGUAGUCUGUUUGGCUUCUGAGAAAACGAAAGAAAGUGAAUGAAAAUUCGCAGAGAAACCAGAGAGAGAACAAACAACACAAAGUGCUCUCCUUCCUUCUUCUGAUAAACGAAAUUCUCUCUCCCUUUUAAAACCAGUUUUAUACCCCUCUUUCAUACUCUCGGUUCCACACCGAGCAUUCGUGACCAUCAAUCAUCAAUCAAACGGUCCUGAUUACUCCUCCUUUGAACCGUCGACACCCGUCUAUCAUCAAGUUAGCAUGCGCCCGUGGCAAAUUUUUAUCACCUCACGGACUUCAUCAAUCUAACGGAAUCUUUAACGACGUUGAAUUUUUGUUGAAUUAUAUCAUUAUUUAUUCUGAUAUGUUUUCUAUUAUUUUAUUGUUGCAAUUUUUUUUUUUUUAACGCCGGUGUGGUGGCGCUUAUGAUUAGAGAGUAUUGAGUUACAUUCAAUAAGGUUAGUUAAUCACGUGACUGAUCAAACCACGGUUAUUUUUUUAUUAUUAGUUUAUUGUUGAAUUUUUUUUUUUCAAGCCGGUGUGGGGGCGCUCAUUAUUAGAGCAUCGCAGUAACAGUAGGGUUAGUUAAUCACGUGAGUGAACUAACCAUGGUUUAAUUUUAACCAGACCUGUGAAUCUAACGAUAGGUAUAAGGGCAAUUUUGGUAUUUUAUCGCGAUAAAUAACAUUUAAACAACAAUAAUAAAAUGACCUGCACGUGUUCUAAUGUUCUCUUACCUUAUUUUAUUUUUAAUGACGCAGUCAUUAUUCACGGUGGACAUUUAUAAUAAUUUUGUCAUCUUUCUAAUGCUAAGGUCAUUUUUAUAGGUAAUAUAGUUGCUUUAAUUUUUAAUGGUCAUUUUUGGUGGUAUAUACAUUUUUAUUAAUCGGACCAUUUUAGUGAUAUGAUCUCAAAGUUGCUUUCGAUUUUUUAAUGUGUUCGAUUAAAAUGGAGUAAUGAUACAUCUAUAAAUUUUUAUAUUAAUUUUGUAACAUAGUUGGUUGAAUGAAACCAACACAUUGUCCACAUAAUUUAUCUUUAUUAUAUUAUAUCUUCACUCAAUCAAUGAUAUUAUACCAUAUCAAUUUGUAUAAAAAUUACUUAUAUAACAAUUUAUAACUCUAUUAUUAUUCUUUAAAGUUACAUUUUAGGGUCUGUAAUUUUUUAUUUUCUUGGUAAUGAUCCCUUGGUAAUAUUGGUCAAUCACUCUUCUCCUUAAUAUUAAAGUGGAGAGUUUGAGUAUUCUCAUGUAGUUGUGAGAGUAUAAUAUGUUUGGACUUUUAUUGUAUUAAAAAAAAUUUCCUUCAAUUAAAAAAAAAUUGUUUUCCUCAAAAAUUGAAAGGGGUGCAUGCAUCUUUCAACGAGACAUUUUUUUAUAAAAUCCCUUAACAAAUACACAAACUUUGCAAAUUAAUUGCGUAUAAGAUCGAAGUUAAAAAAUAAAUAACUACAUAAAAUUGUUUAAUGUUACAAAUGCAAAUAUACUUCUUGUCUUUGAUCUUAUUAUGUUAAUUUAUAUUUUAACACUUUAUUAUGCAGCAACGGCCCGACUAUCUAAUAUAAAGGGCAAAUAACCUUAUAUUCAUAGUAUUUGUACUGAGCUAUUCUGGAUAGUUAUGAGAAGCAUCUACUGUUAUUGAAGCAAGAUUUCAAGAUUGGCCAUGUUUCUAAAGAGUAUGUUUCUAAUUGGAAAAUGUAUGUUUCUAAAGAGUGUAAUACUGCGUUUAGACUUGAUUUUUCUUUCCUUCAAUUAAAAAAGAAAAAAAAAUUGUUUUCCUCAAAAAGUGAAAGGGAAACAUACAUUUUCCAAUUAAAUAUUUUUAUAAAAUCCUUCAAGGUCUUAACAAGUACACAAACUUUAGCAAAUAAAAUUGUUUAAUAGUACAAAUGCAUAUAUAGUUCUUGUCUUUGAUCUUAUUAUGUUAAUUCAUAUUUUUUAACAUUUUAUUAUGCAUCAAAGGCUUCACUAUCUAGUAACAAGGACAAAUAACCUCGUAUUCAUUGUAUUUGUAUUAAGCUAUUUUGAAUAAUUAUAAGAAGUAUCUACUGUUAAUUUAGUAAGAUUUCAAGAUUGACCAUGUUUCUAAAAAUUAUAAUAGAGCAGCUGAUGCUUUGGUUAAAAAUCACAUUUAGGUAUUAUUAUUAUCUUAUACAGGUGAAGAUUUUCUACAACAUUUAACUUGUUUAUUUUGAAAUUUUGUCUUGCAAUAAUGAGAAUCUAUUUGGGGGGAAAAAAAACACCUUGUAUUUAACUUGUAUUUUUUUUUCAUUUUUGGAUGAGCUGUUAGAUUUGAAACAAUCUAAUUUAACGAGCAUGGAUGAAAAGAGUAAAUACAUUAUUGAAGGGGGUUACGGUCUUAGUCGGUCAAUCAUAUAUCUUUAUUAUUAUUAUUAGAGUUAUUAUCAUUUCACUGUUUCAAAAAUUACCAAAUAUCAAAUGACUACAACAAGUGUUGUCUUCUAUCAUCUUUCUAUUAUAUUUUUAUAAAAAUAUCAUUUUACUACUUUUUCAUUACAACCGUUAGUUGACCCGUUAGUUGACUAACAAAAUAUCAAUUUUACCCUUCAUGAUUAAAAAAAUAAUAAGAUAAAUUUUUAAUCCAUAUAUCAUAAUUCCAGUUAAAAUAAUUAUGUUGGUGUUUUAUAUCCAUUUUAAUAAAUAUAUUACAAAUUUAUUUUGUAAAUAAGCUUCAAGUAUUUUUUUUUUAAUCAUGAAGAGUGAAAUUAGUAUUUUGUUUGUUAAGGUUAUAACGGAAAAGUAGUAAAAUGAUAUUUUUAUAAAUAUAUAGUAAGAAAAUAAUAAGAGAUAAUACUUGUUGUAGUUAUUUGAUAUUUGAUAAUUUUUAAAGUAAUAAAAUAAUAAUAACCCUUAUUAUUAUUAUUAUUAUUAUUAUUAUUAUUAUUAUUGGAGCAUAGGAUCAUAGAUCUUAAAGUCUGCAACGUUUGUUGCAAGGCUCUGCGAUAUCAAUAGAUAAAAUGCUUGAUUCGUAAGUCUUUUUUUUUUUUUUUUUUUCUGCUUACAGUACUGCAGAAGUAGUUUCCUCAACUGUUCUGGCUGUCUCUCUUAACCUCACGGUGUUUCCUUGCCAAUUUGCUCUUUUAUUUACGGUCGAUUCUGUCACUUUCUCCAUUAACUAGCAUCACGUGGCAAUUUUUGGGCCUUUGGAUUUGUGCGCUUCAAAUUCAACGGCUUUGACGUGGCCUAUGCAACAAUGCCUAAAAUAAUGUCGGUGUGUGGUCAAUUUGUCACCUUCUCAAGUCCAUGCAGUAUGUACAAGAGCUGACCACUUGACGGAAAAUAAAGAGAUUGUUCAUUCAUUUGUUAUGGCCAUCUAAGUAAUUUCCUUGAAAGCCAAUUAGGCAAUAAUUUUUUUUAAUGAGCGUUCAAAAUAAUUUUAAAGGGUAAAAAUAUAAAUAUAUUUAUAAAGUUAAAAUAUAAAAUUUGAUUUUGAAUUAAUAUGAUAGUAAAUACAAAUCCACUAUUCAGAUAAUAAUUGAUAAGAAUUAAUAAGGAAAAUUGUCAAUUUUCUUACACUGAAAUCAAUAUCUAUCACUUACUCCCUAUUAUUUUCAUAAUACCUAAUAACUCACUGGUACCAUAAUUUUACAAUAUAAUCCUUAUUUUCAAGUACACUUUAUUGAUUUAACUAUAAACUGAAUAAAUCAUAUAAAUUGAAAAUAGAAUAAAAGAUUUAAAUACUAAAAAUAACAAAUAUAAGUUUCAGUAUGAAUAAAAAAUUAAUAAUAAGAUAUUUUUUUAUACUUUUUGUUAAUUUUAAAAAAAAAAUUCUAACAACCAUUAUUUAAUAUUUUAAGAUAAAAUAUCAAAUAAAUAACUCAUUUAUAUCUAUUUUCGCUUAAAUGUUUGUGCUCACAUAUCUUUGAAUACUAUAAAUAUAGUUGAAAACAAGUUAUAUCUAUUGAUUUAAAUAAGCAGAAAACUGCCAAACUCCGAGUUAAUAAUCCAUUAUCAAAUGACCUCACGAAAUAAAAUCAUAUCAUCUACCACAUCAUCAAUUUGAAUGCAAACUUUAUAUUGCCCCCAUGUAAGCUUAUUACUUAUUAUAAUUGUUUAUAAUAACUCUACAAGCUCAUGAAUGAUAAAAAGUCAUAUGUAAUGAAUAAAGUUGAGAUUUUGAAAGUUCAAAGCAUCAAAUUUUAUUCCUAAAGCCUAAGUGAUCAUUUGCUUAAUCAAUAACACCAUGUAUCGCGCAUGUUUUUUUAUUUAUUAAACUUAAAAAUAACAUUUUCUCUAAAAUUAUUAAUACGUACUAAUAUUUACAUCAUAUAUUGGAUAUCUGCUCUACUCAAUACUCACCAUUUAAUAGAAUAGAAGCUUAUUUUUACUCAAUUUUUAAUUGGGAAUAGAAGUCUUUUCUGGUGACUUAAAUUACAGCUCUUAGACAUUUGUUCUGCAUUUAAUUAACAGGAGAGAUUCUAAUAUAUACCCAAUUUUUAAACCCAAUUUUUAAUUAGAAGAAGAAAUAGAAAUCUGCUAUAAGAACUUAAAUCGCAGCUCUCACAAUGGUAACUUGUGAGAGUUGCAGUUUACCACUCAACUAUUUUAACAGAGUGCGCUGCUUCGGCCUUGGCCGAAGUGGUGGGCUGCUACCCUCACAACACAAUGCUUGUGAGGGCAGCGGUUCUAGCCCCCACAAAGCUUUUGUGGGGGCUAAAUGUUCUUUAUAUUUAAAAAAUCUUUCUCCCUUGCGAAAUGCAAGUGGAGUAUGGACAUCCCUUUCAUGUGAGGGGUUAUUUGUCUGGGCAUGUACUUCAUAGAAUUCAUUGUAAUAAUGUAAGUCUCAAUCAUAUAUAUAUCUGAUUGUAAAUAUCAGUGUAAUAUCUCUGCUACAAUAAGCAGUUGUUGUAAAUAUCUGUGUAAUGCAAUAAUCUGAUGAUUAAUCAGUAUUAAAAAAAAAAAACAGAGUGCUUUGAAAAUACCAUAUGAUAUAUCUAACACAAACAACUUUAUAUAAUACACGCUGUCAUACAUGUUAUGACAUGCGUGGCAAGCUCCCAUUAUAGGAAGCUCAGCUGUAGCUCGAAAGCCCCUAAUAAGAACUCAUCAUUAACAUAAUAGCCAAUCGCACACUAUAAUAACGUACGCGAGGGCGUGCACAAGAUCAGCUUGCUCUAAAAUUGUUCAUAACAACAAUACUUUAUGAGAUAACAAUCACAUAAAAAGACAAGCCAAAACAAAACAAAACAAGACCGACACGAAAGUAAUGUCGGUGUUCCGAUUACUUAGACCUCUCUAUAUUACAAUUUAUGGAUUAUGUAAUUCUGUAUUAAAGGGGAAAAUAAAGGAAAAAAAAUAAAAGAAAAGGUCUAUGUAGUACUAUCUAAAGGUCUGUAUCAACCACCAAUGGCCUUUGGUUCAAUGAGAGAAGUCUUAUACUUAUAAUAUCGAGUGUAACGAUUCGAGCCUCCACAAGAGUAUUAUGGAAGUUAUUUUCAGUUUUUUCUUAAUUAUUAAUUAAUUGAGUGUAGACAAUUUCUCCCUUACAAAAUAUGAGUGGAGUAGGCAUCCCUCGAAUAUUAGAGAGUGUUUAAAGUAUUUAAACAAAUGCUUCAAUAAAUUAAUGUAUGGUGGUGAUCUCAGUUGUUUAAUAUAAUUAUAAAUAUUAUAAUUAUAAUGUUAAUAUCAAUAACCAUAUCUGUAUAACAUAAUUAAAAAAAAAAGGGUCGAUAUCAAUCAAUGGGAUGAUAUUUAUUUAAUCGAGAUAAAAACGGAUUCAAAAAGUUUAGGUCAAAGACAUAAACAUCCUUCAUAUCUAAGAUUUCAUUGGCCUCGAAUGGAGGACAUUAUUGUCAAAUCAAAUUGUCCCUACAAGCACUAAUCGAUCAGGUUAGGGUUUCGCUCUUUCUCUGAAUUGCCGAAACGAAGAAUCACCGAGUUAAGGGGAAAGAAGAUAACACUAAAUCAAUCAGAUAUCACGUUUCAUAUCAACCGAUUAAUCACUGGUGCGUUUUGUUUUCUUUCCAAUUGUUCUAUUCUCGUGCUUUUAUUUGUGAGAUUUUUUUUUCUCCGAUCGAAAUAUCACAUGCAUCGGGAUCUUGAAAUUCAAGAUCUAUAAAUUCAUUUUUGCUGAAGAUUGAGAAUUGUUUUGUAUUUUCGUUAGAUGUAUAACGGAAUCGGCUUACAGACCCCGAGGGGGUCCGGAACCAACGGAUACAUACAAACGAACAAGUUUUUUGUGAAGGCCAAAACAGGUCGGGUUACCGACAGCGUCAAGGGAUUCGAAGCGGGUCAGGGAACGGCUGGAGUCACCAGAAAACCGAACCAGGAGAUCCUCGAGCAUGAGCGUAAGCGCCAGAUUCAACUCAAAUUGGUGGUGCUCGAAGACAAACUCGUUGAUCAGGGUUACACUGAGGCUGAAAUUGCCGAGAAGCUUGAGGAGGCUCGGAAGACUCUUGAAGUCGCCUCAGCUUCAGCGGAAAGUGGUGGGCCUGCCGCUGAUGCAAAGUAAGUAAUUCUUGCUAUGAAUAAUAAGAUACAUACAAAUUUUCAUUCUUGAGGUGACAUGAUAUGAUUGGAACAGUGAAAAAUAACAAGUACAGUUCAAGUACUCAUACCACUUCAGUUUGUAGAGAUGUCUUUUUGUAGACAUUUUUUCAUGUGUGUAACUUUUAAGCGUGUCAGUUUUAUUUAUUUUCACUGCUAUAAUAUUAUGAAUGGUUAGUUUUCUUGUGCGUUGUUUUAUAUGUGUGAUAAAGCAAUUGGUAUGUUUUUAGUAUGUGCUGCUUGUGUUUGAAGUUUGAAGCAUGUAUAAUUAGGGAACCUGCAAUUUUGCCUCUCCUUUCGGCUGCAAGGGGAUUGUUGAAUCACUUCCUUGAUGGCUUUGUUCUGGAGGCAUAUAUGUAAUUCAGAAUGGGAUUCAUUAAAGGGGAAUUAAUUUUUUUCUAAUUUCCCUUACUCUUGUUUCUUGGAAAUUCCUUCGUCUUUGUAAUAGUUGUUCCAUUUUCAGCUUUAUUUUACACUUGAGAUUUCUGUUACCCGAGUUAUUUUACUUGAUUAAUCAUGUCUUCUCAGUAGGAAAUUUUUGUAUAGGUUACCUAGGAAUUAACUUCUAAUUUUCUCCUUGCUUGUUCAGGGUAUCAGAAACAGAGACCCAUAAAAUUGCUGCUAGAAAGGAGAAACAAAUGGAAAUGUUUAGAGCUGCACUUGGUAUAGGUA